rnacentral:rRNA from 1 species
UACGUAGGGCGCAAGCGUUGUCCGGAAUUAUUGGGCGUAAAGAGCUCGUAGGCGGCUUGUCACGUCGAUUGUGAAAGCCCGAGGCUUAACCUCGGGUCUGCAGUCGAUACGGGCUAGCUUGAGUGUGGUAGGGGAGAUCGGAAUUCCUGGUGUAGCGGUGAAAUGCGCAGAUAUCAGGAGGAACACCGGUGGCGAAGGCGGAUCUCUGGGCCAUUACUGACGCUGAGGAGCGAAAGCGUGGGGAGCGAACAGG